rnacentral:rRNA from 1 species
UACGUAGGGGGCAAGCGUUGUCCGGAUUUAUUGGGCGUAAAGAGUGUGUAGGCGGUGUUCUAAGUCUGUUGUGAAAUCUCCCGGCUUAACUGGGAGGGUGCGGCGGAAACUGGAAUGCUAGAGGAUGGGAGAGGUAAGCGGAAUUCCUGGUGUAGCGGUGAAAUGCGUAGAUAUCAGGAGGAACACCUGUGGUGUAGACAGCUUACUGGACCAUUUCUGACGCUGAGACACGAAAGCGUGGGUAGCAAACAGG